rnacentral:tRNA from 1 species
GAGGGUAUAGCUCAGUGGGGGAGUGCACACCCAGCGUGCAUGCGGGCCUGGGUUCAAUUCCUAGUAUCUCCA